rnacentral:rRNA from 1 species
AUUGAACGCUGGCGGCAUGCCUUACACAUGCAAGUCGAACGGCAGCACGGGUGCUUGCACCUGGUGGCGAGUGGCGAACGGGUGAGUAAUACAUCGGAACGUACCUUAUCGUGGGGGAUAACGCAGCGAAAGCUGUGCUAAUACCGCAUACGCCCUGAGGGGGAAAGCGGGGGAUCGCAAGACCUCGCGCGAUUAGAGCGGCCGAUGCCUGAUUAGCUUGUUGGUGGGGUAAAAGCCCACCAAGGCGACGAUCAGUAGCUGGUCUGAGAGGACGAUCAGCCACACUGGGACUGAGACACGGCCCAGACUCCUACGGGAGGCAGCAGUGGGGAAUUUUGGACAAUGGGGGCAACCCCGAUCCAGCAAUGCCGCGUGAGUGAAGAAGGCCUUCGGGUUGUAAAGCACUUUUGUCAGGGAAGAAACACCGGCUCUAACACAGUCCGGGAAUGACGGUACCUGAAGAAUAAGCACCGGCUAACUACGUGCCAGCCGCCGCCGUAA